rnacentral:rRNA from 1 species
CCUACGGGAGGCAGCAGUGGGGAAUAUUGGACAAUGGGCGAAAGCCUGAUCCAGCCAUGCCGCGUGUGUGAAGAAGGUCUUCGGAUUGUAAAGCACUUUAAGUUGGGAGGAAGGGCAUUAACCUAAUACGUUAGUGUUUUGACGUUACCGACAGAAUAAGCACCGGCUAACUCUGUGCCAGCAGCCGCGGUAAUACAGAGGGUGCAAGCGUUAAUCGGAAUUACUGGGCGUAAAGCGCGCGUAGGUGGUUUGUUAAGUUGGAUGUGAAAUCCCCGGGCUCAACCUGGGAACUGCAUUCAAAACUGACUGACUAGAGUAUGGUAGAGGGUGGUGGAAUUUCCUGUGUAGCGGUGAAAUGCGUAGAUAUAGGAAGGAACACCAGUGGCGAAGGCGACCACCUGGACUAAUACUGACACUGAGGUGCGAAAGCGUGGGGAGCAAACAGGAUUAGAUACCCUGGUAGUCCACGCCGUAAACGAUGUCAACUAGCCGUUGGGAGCCUUGUAGCUCUUAGUGGUCGCGAGCUACGACGAUUAAGUUAGUACCGCCGUCGGGAGGUACGGGUCCGGUCCGAACGGUUAAAACGUUAAACGUUAAGUUAAGUUAGUACGGCGUUGAGACGUUGCCGACGGACGACGACGAGGGAGGAGG